UGCUAUCAGAGCUUAACUUUUCUUCCUCGGCCCCGUCUCUGUGGCCUCUCACCCUUCCCCAAUAUUUGCAGGCUUGAGGCAAUCGCCGGCUCGACAAGUAAGAGCGGCGACGGAGCUCAGGUGACAUUGCUUAAGGUGAAAUCGAGACAGAUGCGAAGUGAAUCGGCGACAUGGAAGAGAUGUAGGCGAUGUUUCGCGAGAUUCGAGUUCCAGACCAUGCCGCCAUGGCCUUCCUUUCUACAGCUCGGCUUCCAAAUACAUCGCUUCUCAGUUCUCUCCAUCCAUGUCCCAAAGUGUGGUGGGAGGCCGGUGGAUGAGUAGCUCCCCAGACGCGUUGGUAUGAUGGUAUCGGAAUCGAAGUUACAAAAGCUAUGGUUUUAAUAGUACGCGGUGCAGAAUUUAAUUUUAGCAGUAUUUAGUUUUGAUCAACAAUAUGGAUUGCGGUACCUAACGCUUGGUUUGGGUGCAGUUAUGUCAUUUACAUAGAGGGUACUAUUACUGUAGAUGGAUACUUCGUUAGAUUCUAGACUGAACUAAUGACUAUAUGCAAUUGUUGAAAACUCCAGCCACCGAAGGGAGGGAAAUUUCUAGCUAUUUUCAGAUCUACGCCAGUGUAGGGUGACUUAUGGGUGUGACACAUUAUAAAAGAAUAUUGGGGGCUUGACAGUGUGACGUUUAAAAAACAUUUAGGCCCUCUUGGUUCUUUAGUUUGCAUUGGUGGUCCCACAUAUUCAUGUUUUUGUUGGAGAUAUAGAUGGUGGCAGCAAGAUUUAGUUUUGGCAUUCCCCGUUGGAUCUAAAUUAUCCACAUCAGAAGUGGUGUCAAUAGCUUUGUUGCAUUCGUGGGAAGAAGAUGAAUAAAACAUGUGCAGUUGAUUGACCUGAGAUAGGGAUGUGGAGGUAGAUAUGAACAUGGGAGUGUUAGCUGUAGGUGGCUUUUCUUCGUAGGUGUGUAAUUGUCGAAGGUAAACUCUAUUGACCUCUUGAGUGAAAAAUAUUGUUUUACCACCGAUCGGUGUAGGGAAUAAACUGUUAUAUGCUACAUGAAAAUUUAGUUCUUAACAUAUUUUUUUUGUCAGAGGUCUGGUUCAUUUAAUUAUCACAAUGACCACAUGUACAUCCUUUUUUGUAUUUCAGUCUAAGAUUUACUUAUGUUAUACAUAGGUUGAUACAUGGUGAUGCAUUAAUGAGGCUGGACGGGAUAUGCCUAAGCUACUCAAUGAGCAAGUGAGCCCAGGCUCUCUUCGAAGUUUUCAAGUUUGGAGUAUGGACAGCGGCGCUGCUGGCAUGUUAUUAUUCCUUCAUCAGAAUGCACACCUCCACCGGCUGAGGUGGUGAUGAUCUGUUGACAAGAGGUGGGUUCAUGAAGACAAGGAGCAUAUUUUGGCAACCGUAGCUUCAUCGAGUUUCAGUUUGAUGCAUUAAUUUCCCUGGCUGCAAAUUUCUGUAUGUAUGAUGAUUAUUUGUAGAACUUUGCAGAAUGGAAUGACUGCUGCAUGAAAGUUUAUCCUAGCUAUAGGCUAGAAAGAUUGAGAAUUAAGAAGAUAUAGAGUGUGUGAAAUUAGUAAAAUCGGUGUUUUUCCCCAUUUUUGGGUUGUGCCCGUAGCCGUAGGCGCUCUUGAAUGUAUUAACGAGCCGAUGUCCACCAGCAGAACAAGGGGGUGUGCUUGUGUUCGGUAUACUGGAUGUUAAAUUUGCCAUGUGUAAUAUUUAUUCCCAAAAACACCACAAAUUCUCAGAGGUGCAGUCCUGCUCACUAUGGCCCUUGGUGUUUGCCUUAUAUGCCACAACUUGGGAUCUUUGCUAGGUGUUCUUGA